CCAGGGUCAGUGGGCGCUCCGGCGCUCAAAACCAACCCUUCGUUUCCCGCCCGUCCUUUGGCGCGAAGGGGGCCCGUCUGACGGCGGGGCCCCUGCCAAAAUCAACUCUGAACCACCUUGCAGCCUGAAGUAAAAAGCAAAUAGUUA
rnacentral:misc_RNA from 1 species